GGCAUGGUGGCUCAGUGGUUAGAGCGCCCGCCUCAUGAACCGGGGGUAGUGGGUUCGAACCCCGGCCGAGGCA
rfam:Strongylocentrotus purpuratus Contig68630_fixed, whole genome shotgun sequence.